rnacentral:rRNA from 1 species
UACGUAGGGGGCUAGCGUUAUCCGGAAUUACUGGGCGUAAAGGGUGCGUAGGUGGUUUCUUAAGUCAGAGGUGAAAGGCUACGGCUCAACCGUAGUAAGCCUUUGAAACUGGGGAACUUGAGUGCAGGAGAGGAGAGUGGAAUUCCUAGUGUAGCGGUGAAAUGCGUAGAUAUUAGGAGGAACACCAAUUGCGAAGGCGGCUCUCUGGACUGUAACUGACACUGAGGCACGAAAGCGUGGGGAGCAAACAGG